CCUACGGGGAGCAGCAGUGGGGAAUAUUGGACAAUGGGCGAAAGCCUGAUCCAGCCAUGCCGCGUGUGUGAAGAAGGCCUUCGGGUUGUAAAGCACUUUCAGUGGGGAAGAAAGCCUUGGGGCUAAUACCCUCGAGGAAGGACAUCACCCACAGAAGAAGCACCGGCUAACUCCGUGCCAGCAGCCGCGGUAAUACGGAGGGUGCGAGCGUUAAUCGGAAUUACUGGGCGUAAAGCGCGCGUAGGCGGUCUGAUAAGCCGGUUGUGAAAGCCCCGGGCUCAACCUGGGAACGGCAUCCGGAACGGUCAGGCUAGAGUGCAGGAGAGGAAGGUAGAAUUCCCGGUGUAGCGGUGAAAUGCGUAGAGAUCGGGAGGAAUACCAGUGGCGAAGGCGGCCUUCUGGACUGACACUGACGCUGAGGUGCGAAAGCGUGGGUAGCAAACAGGAUUAGAUACCCCAGUAGUC
rnacentral:rRNA from 1 species